AUGCUAACUUUGGCACCACAUAUAAUAAUAUUGGAAUGAUACAGAGAAGAUUAGCAUGGCCGCUAUGCAAAAAUGACAUGCAAAUUUAUAAAACAUUUCAUAUUUUU
ensembl:snRNA U6 U6 spliceosomal RNA